AGCUGACAGUGACGAGGAACAGGAAGAUGAUGCCGAGAAUGCAUCCGGAGAUGUUAGUCUUCUCCAGAUGCUGGCAGACAGCAAACAGACGCAGCAAGGAGCUUCCAAGAGAGUUGUGGACUUGAUUCGUGAUCUACAAUCACUAGCAG